UACGUAGGGUGCAAGCGUUGUCCGGAAUUAUUGGGCGUAAAGAGCGUGUAGGCGGCUGGGUAGGUCCGUUGUGAAAACUCGAGGCUCAACCUCGAGACGCCGAUGGAAACCCUCCAGCUAGAGUCCGGAAGAGGAGAGUGGAAUUCCUGGUGUAGCGGUGAAAUGCGCAGAUAUCAGGAGGAACACCGGUGGCGAAGGCGGGUCUCUGGGAAACAACUGACGCUGAGGAACGAAAGCGUGGGUAGCAAACAGG
rnacentral:rRNA from 1 species